ACCUGUCUAGCUCAGUAGGUUAAGCAUCAGACUUCGGCUCAGGUCAUGACUUUGCGGUUCAUGGGUUCAAGCCCCGUGUCAGGCU
rnacentral:tRNA from 1 species